rfam:Mesocricetus auratus contig160295, whole genome shotgun sequence.
GGGUCUAUGAUGAAAAACCAAUGUCACACAGAGAGGUGAUGACAUAAAAAUCAUUCUAAAGGAUAGGGAAGAAAUAGGGGCCU